CCCUGCUUCUCUCUCUCUCUCUCUCUCGAUCGAUUCCAGAUCUGGAUCUGGAUCUAUGGUUUUCCUCCUUAAAAUUUCACCAGAUAUGAAGAUUCUGACCUCUCAGUUCUGAUUUAGGGUAUUUUUGGUGUUAUUGCUACCUUCGUCAAGGGUCAUGGUUUAAGGAAUGUGUCACGUUUCUUCUGAGAUUCCAGUCGGAAUCCGAGCCGAGAUAAUGGAUGCUCUAGGGUUUAUGAAGGUUUGAUGAACUCUGCUGCGUGUACCAGCGAUACACAAAGAUCCUCUUUAAAUGGCUUCCGGUAAGACGAUUAGGGUUCCGGCGUGCUGGACUGCCAUCUCUGUCAAAAAAGGUUCCUCAAAGAUAGUGGUUGUGGGUGGAAGACGAUGACACAAGCCUUGAAUCAAAUCCAUGUUUACUCGACCUCCAUAUUUUGAGGGUAAAAGUGAAGAUGACUUCUUUGACAGGACUUAAAGCAAGUUGAAGUUUGCAUCAGAUAAGGGGAUGCGUUUAGAUGGUUGGCUGGAAAUCCUUCCCACAAACUGGAUAUAAUGGCUCAGUGUGGCUAACAGUAAGUCCUGCUGACCCUUCAGGCUCCAAUGAAUUUUACAAGAAGACAUUCAUCGAGUUUCUUGAUUCUUUUGCAUACCUUCACUUCACUGUUGAGGACAUAUGGAUACUAAAGCAAUUGGCGAAAAUGCAUCUUUGUUUCUCAUAAAGCAAGGCGCUAAAGCUGGUUUCUCAUCCUCCACCAUCUUCCUCUUUGUUAGCGCCUCAAGCACAACCUAUCACCGCCGUUGAAGACAGAUGUGCCCCUCUAAACGGUGGUGGAGGUCACACUUCUUGAUUACAUAUAUGCCCUUCUAAACGGUGGUAGAGGUCACACUUCAAGAACGGUAACCAAUAGUGCAGCUCAAAGCUUUUGUCAUCAGUUGGUCCAAAUGUGCCGAGAAUCUGCCAUGACUCAACGUUGCUCUUGUAGACGAUUUGUAGCAGCUCCUACAACAAACGGUGGUGGUUGGUGUCCAGACGCAUUUCUGGUGACUUCGGUUUAGGGUUCCGACAGUCUCAUUUUCUCUGUUUUGCUCCAUACACAGAGGGACCCAUUGAUGGGUAUUUAAUAUCAAAUCGUACAUACAGAGUUGCAGCAACAAAAAGGCCACUCCUUUUUAUUGGAACCGGUGAACAUAUGGAUGAAUUUGAACUAAUUGAGAUUAUGUGCAGCGAUUUAAUUUGGGAUUUUGUUUGUUGGGUAGAUAUUUAGGUCUACAUAGUUAAAAAUACCCCAAAGGAGGUAAUUCUAAUUUGCGCAAUUUAAGCGUUUAUUAAUUAAAGUUCCCUAUACAUUCUUCUAUUUUGUGCUGAUCAUGAUGGGUGUUUUAACGGAGCCAUGUGCUUGAUUUGAUUAAUCGUGGGGGGAACUUCAUCGUGGUCCGAGUCUUAGCCGACUUACAAAGGUUUAACACCAACAGAGAAGCUUUUGGAUUUGUUUCAUGGAAAAUUGGGACUAAAUGUUGACCCUAUAUUCGAUAAACUAGGCUACUAAGAUUUCAAGCUUUUGUCUAUGUUUCUGUAUAUGUUUUUUUUUUUCAAAGGGUGACCAUAUUUGUGUUCAUGAUCACUUAAAAUUC
rnacentral:lncRNA from 1 species